GGAGAGCUUGAACCUGGGGAGCGCGGAAUCUGGUGCGGAGUUGGAGUUCUAGGACCGGAGGUGGGGAACGCCGGGGUGACACCAUGUGCGGGGAGAGCGACUGGAAUAAUAGGAGUGGUGGCCGGGGAAGAACCUGGGAUGUCCGCCCCCACCCCGGCUCUCCUUCGCUUGGAUUCUCUGUCCCCCGAAUGCGGAAUCCGAGGCAAGGUGUGUCCGGACAAGAGGAGCUUCUUGGCUUCGGUCUGAACAGUGAUGGCACUUAUUUCUGUUACAAGUUUCUCAGUGGACUGUGGAUUGACUGAACCAUACCCAUUCCCAUCAUGAUGUAUACCACCAAGGCUCCUCACUACUUUCAUGGUGACAUGGCAUCUGGUUUCUUUCUACAAGGAAGGUUCAGCACACAGCACAGUCUUUGAUACAUUGGACUGGUUUGAGGAUCCUACCUGGAAUAGGUAUGUAAGACUUUCAGUGUUUGCUUUCUCAUCCUUUGAAUAGCCAUGGAUGUUAUAUCCAUUUCUGCUUUUCUUGUUGUUGAUUAAGAGUGGAAUUUGUUCUGAAGAAUAAACUUCAUGUGUUAGAGAUGAUCUUUGUCUUU
rnacentral:lncRNA from 1 species